GUCUAUAUGGUAGUAUAUAUAGUCUAACCUGCCCACUGGUAUAAAAUCUAAAGGGCCGCAGUAUUUUGACUGUGCAAAGGUAGCAUAAUCAUUAGUCUUUUAAUUGAAGACUUGUAUGAAUGGUUGGACGAGAAAUAAACUGUUUCUUUUGUAAAUUUUGAAUUUAACUUUUAAGUGAAAAGGCUUAAAUGUAUUAGAGGGACGAUAAGACCCUAUAAAUCUUAAUAUUCUAUUAUUAGAUAUAUUAUUAAUAAUGUUUAUGUAUAUUUAAUAAAAAUAGUAUUUUGCUGGGGCGGUAUAAAUAAAAUUGAUAACUGUUUAAUAUAAAUUCAGAAAUAUCUGAUAUUUAAUAGAUCCUUAUAUAAAGAUUAAAAGGUUAAGUUACUUUAGGGAUAACAGCGUUAUUUCUUUUAAGAGUUCAUAUCUAAAAAGAAGUUUGCGACCUCGAUGUUGAAUUAAAAUUUCUUUGUGGUUGCAGUAGCUACAAAAGAAAGUCUGUUCGACUUUUAAAAUUUUACAUGAUUUGAGUUCAGACCGGUGUAAG
rnacentral:rRNA from 1 species